rnacentral:rRNA from 1 species
CAGUAGCCGCGGUAAGACGAACCGUGCGAACGUUAUUCGGAAUCACUGGGCUUAAAGCGCGUGUAGGCGGAUGGGAGCGUCGGCCUCUGAAAUCCCCCGGCUCAACCUGGGAACUGCAUUUGUGACUGGCAAGCUAGAGUCUGGCAGAGGGGGGUGGAAUUCCGCGUGUAGCAGUGAAAUGCGUAGAUAUGCGGAGGAACACCGAUGGCGAAGGCAGCCCCCUGGGCCAACACUGACGCUCAUGCACGAAAGCGUGGGGAGCAAACAGGAUUAGAUACCCCAGUAGUCCCUGUCUCUUAUA